rnacentral:rRNA from 1 species
GGGUUGUGAGGUUAAGCGACUAAGCGUACACGGUGGAUGCCCUGGCAGUCAGAGGCGAUGAAGGACGUGCUAAUCUGCGAAAAGCGUCGGUAAGGUGAUAUGAACCGUUACAGCCGGCGAUGUCCGAAUGGGGAAACCCAGUGCAAUUCGUUGCACUAUCGUUAACUGAAUACAUAGGUUAACGAGGCGAACCGGGGGAACUGAAACAUCUAAGUACCCCGAGGAAAAGAAAUCAACCGAGAUUCCCCCAGUAGCGGCGAGCGAACGGGGAGCAGCCCAGAGUCUGAAUCAGCUUGUGUGUUAGUGGAACGGUCUGGAAAGUCCGACGGUACAGGGUGAUAGUCCCGUACACCAAAAUGCACAGGCUGUGAACUCGAAGAGUAGGGCGGGACACGUGGUAUCCUGUCUGAAUAUGGGGGGACCAUCCUC